CAGACAGAGGCAGCACAACACAGACAACCACCACCAGUGUUAAAGAGUUGUAUUUUUUUUUUUUCUUUUUAGUAGUAAGUAUAUAGUAUAGUAAUAUUAGUAGUAUAUUAGUAGUAUAUAGUAUUUACGGUAUCAGGUAGAGACGGAGGGUGUGCGGAGAGAGAAGUUGGCGAGAGAAGCAAGUUUUUGGAGGAGGUGGGGUGGGGGGGAUUGUUGUUUCCCUUUCUCGCAAAACGGUGCUCGAUGUAGAUACAUAUAUAUAUAUAUAUAUAUACAUAUCGUAACCGAGUCAUAUUUUGCUCCAGGGUAUUUUUUGGGGGUGGAGGUGGGGUGGAGCUUGUACGCGUGAUAUGCAGCAGUAAUGAGUAAGUAAAAGUUGAUCUACUUUGGUCAUAUAUACUUUGUUUUUUCUUUUCGUAUUUCUCAUUGAUGCUUCGAGUCUGGAUGAGACGCUCUAUUUUUUUUUUUUUUUUUUUUUUUUUUAAAUAUCGAGUUGCAGAUAUUAGCUUUCGACGCGUACACAACGCAGGCGAAAAUUGGAUAAUGCAUAUAUAUAUAUACGUAUAAUUGGUGUAUAUAGAUACGUUAUCCUGGCCUGCGUUAUGAGGCAGAGACAGGUGGGCAGAGACAGGCGGACAAGCAAACGGAAAACGUUUUUCUCACGGAUCGACAAUAAAGACACGUUGCGUAAUAAUAACACUAACACAUAGAUCGGUAUUUCUCGGUACGAAUGAGUAUUAUAUCUUUAUCGAUCUCUAGAUAACUAGGCUUGUCGCUUGUUGUUGCUGUUGUUGUUCUUGAUGUUGUUAUCGAUCAUGACGAUGUUGUUGUUGUAGUUGUAGUUGUUGUUGUUCCUGUUGCUCUGUGACUGUCGUCGCCGUUGUUGUAGGUUUUAUUUAUUUAUUUAUUUAUAUUAUUCAUUUGUCGGAUCUUCUCUUCCGGGUUUUAAUCGAGAUUGAUUUCGUUACGAGCGCGCGACGGUUCGCGCCGGAUUUCGAUUCUUUUCUCUAAGAAGAUUUAAUAUAUAUAUAUAUAUAUGUAUAUAUGAAAUAUAUAUAUAUAUAUAUAUUUUUUUUAACUUUUGUUUGUUUGUACUCUUAUAUUUUGUUGUUGUUGUUCUGUUUCGCUAGCGCGUGACGAGUUGAAACCGCUAAUUUUACUAUUAUUUUUUUUUAACUGGGAGGAGAGAACCUCGCGCUCUCUUCUAUCGUCGAUCGUUCAAACUCUUUGUCUUUCGUACCAACGAACGAGAAGAGCCACCGACGAUUCGCACGACGACGAGAACCGAGUUGCAGAAAGUGGGUAGAAGAAGAAGACAGAAAGAGAGUGCUACUCGAAGAGUCUAUGAGUCUGAAUUAGUCCAAAGAACGUAAAGAGGAGGUUCCGCGGCGCAGUGUACGGUAAAGUAUCGCUGAAUACAGAAAAAACGGUACAAUAUACAGUUUCGAUGGAGAGAGAGAGAGAGAGAGAGAGGUAAAGUAUGCGCAAGUCAAUGAAAAAAAAAAAAAAAAAGAAAAAGAAAAAGAAAAGUAUAUAAAAGAUAAAUGGAAAUGAAUCUCGGUCAAUUUGAGUCGCGAGAGCAGAAUUGUAGAACUUGCAAAAUGGAAUCGUUAAAAUCUUCGUGUCGAGGAGAGACUCCUCGCAGAGAUCUCGGGACUCAAACUAACUCGGAGAGAAAGAGAGAAUACCUAAAUAAAUGCAAAGUAGAACACACGCACACAUAAGUGGAGGAGGGAAAGCAUGAACAGGAGAGGAGAGCAUGAACAGAGCGGCGAAUGACCGUACGAGAGAACGAAGAAACGGAGAGCUUUUUUUUUUCGACUGGGCAAAUACCGUGGAAUGAACCCGCUCUCGCAAUCGUUGUUCCAGCAAACGAUACUUAUCUUUGCUACCUCGCGAUCGAGACGACCUACCUCGCGAAGAGGCCUCCAAAGCUCUUUGGAGGCUCGCCGUGUUCUCGUUCCAUGCAAACGAACAUUCUAAUCCCAACGAAUUUAAAAGGCAAAAAGGAAAUAUACAAUUCGGUACGGAGAAGAGGAAGAGAAAGGCUGAAAAAAUUCGAAAGAUUGCAAGAGGGAAUAUAUAUAUAUAUACAGGAGAGUACCACCGCCAUUGUCGAGACUGUACAUCAUCGCGAAGCCAAUUACCGAGGUUUUCUCUAGAACGUGCUGUUCGUUCGUCCGAACCGAGGUCUUUGCUCCUUUCUUCGUUCGCUCUUUUAAAGAGAAGCGUGCGCAUCCGUCCGCAUUGGGAAAUGUGCAUGAGAUAUCCAAGGGAGAAAGAAAUCGAAACAAAGGGCCGGUUCAACGAGUAUUUACCGCUCGGCUCGACUUAUACCCAUGUUGGACUGUUUUCGAGCUAGGACGAGCUAAAUUUUGUUGGUACAAUUAAUGUUAGUUUCGAUGCACGAUUAUUUAUUUAACGAAUAGCGCCUUCUUUCACUCGAGGAACUUUAAUACUUUCACUAUCGACCCAUUAUCGUUGCUUGAAACUUUGCUAGAAACUUACACAAAGCUUCGAGUAUACGUAUAAAUUGAAUAAUAUUCGAGAUUCAGCGCUGGAGCUACCUAGACGAUUCAGAUUGCAAAAUGCAUUAUACAUCCCACAAACUAUUAUAUAAAUUUAGACAGAAAAUUUCUCGAGUGAAGAGAGCAUUACACAUUCCCCAAACUAUUAUACGUAUAAACGUCCUAUAACCGAAUCUGUUGAACCCUUACGGUACAGUUCCUUCAAUUCCCCUAAACAACGCGCAAAGACUCAUUCUAUAUUCAAUCAACCCUUCGAAUACUAUCGACUGUGUCGAGUAAAUACUCCAUCGAAUACCGUGCAACAAAAAAUAGUGUUCGAAUGUUCGAGAUAAAACGAGAUAAAAAAAAAACGUAGGAUGAAACGUGAAGAAUAUACACGAUGCAUUGGCGAGUCUUUGAAGAGCGAUGCAGCUCGUCCCCGUGUCGCGAUCGGUUAUCAAGCGCGAAUCUUGAAAACCUUCUGAUUCAAUCGUGGACCAGCUUCCUCUCUCUUCGAGUACGGAUCCCUUGUACGCGGGGGUGUGUUUCUGUGAGUGAGUGAGUGGAAUGUUCUGUGCACAGAGAGAUCGCGUUUGAGAAUGAUAGGCGGAAACGUGACAGCACGAUGCAGCACUGGAGAGGAGAAGAAUGAACAGUGUUCAGGCAAACACACACAGGCAGCCAGGCAGCCAAGGCAGGCAAGCUGUGGAGUUCUCGAGUAAAACCAUCGAUCUCACAAAUCUUUAUUAAAAUCAGUUUCAUAUACUAGAAACACCCGGAGGAAACCGGUAUUUAUUCGCACGAAGAAAUUAGGUGCACCAACACCUCGCGUAUCUUGAAAUCGACCAAACUAUACGCGUACGUACACGCCUUAAUCGGCCUGCUAAUUAAACUUCGCCUCGAGAACCCCAUCGGCGAAUAGGCGGCAAACUUCCCCCGAUAAAAAGUCCACCAAUGACGACGUAAACUCGUCCUUUUCGUGUCGACAAACUCGAGACUCGCGAAAGUUGCUAUCGUGAAUCUAGACACGCGAUAUAUUUUAUCGUACUUGUCGUCGAUGCAGAUUUUACGUUCGGAGAAAAUUAUGCGAGCAAGCAAACGAUCAAGCGGCGUUUGUUUUCGCGUCAAGCAAGGCGGACACACACCGUACACGUGGAAAACACGUACAUACACAGUCAGCAACACGGACAAUAAUAUCGAGGAAUGCCUGGUUCAGCCAGCAACACGAAAUAUAAAUACAAUGGGUAGCAGCGACAGAGGUACGGCGGCCAUCGAUGCCGCGCGAGCUUAGUUCUCUCGGUUCUUUUUGCGCUCCUUGGUAUAGAGAAACGAUAUCUCGCAGAUACCGUUGGUCGUGUACUGUUCAUUUACCUGUCUCGGUCAGCCUCUAACGGUGAUCGAGCUCUAACGGCUCGACAGACUAUCGAGGGGGUGAAAAUCGUGGCGUUCUUACCUAAACUUUCUGGCUCGAGACACGAGGCCCUUUCUCCUCGGUUCGAUCGAUCAAUUCGACACCAAUUACUUUUCAUAUACAACAUUUCCUUUGAAAGACGAGUUUGAGAAUGAUUGGUCGAGAAAGAAGUAUUCCUUUCAGGGGAUUUCCGGUACUCUUGAACGACCAAGUACAGUAAAGUCUCGUUAAACGGACAAGCUCGGGACUGAAUCUCGAGCUCGUUUAUCGUAGUAGAGCUCGUAUAUUUUCCGAUAUUUCCCGACGAGAAGAGUAUUUACAUUAUUACGUAUGUAUGUCGGCGAGUUGCAUUAACAUUGUCUCGCCGAGAUAUCCGAUCCCAGAUCAUGUUACGCAUCCAGCAGUGGGGAUGGUUUCUGUGCAUUUAAAGAGACUUUACUGUAUAUUGAUUUUUAGUUUUUACAAAUCCUCCUGAAGAGAAAGGGCGAUAAAUUUGUCUCGUGGUAACCUUCGAAUCGAUACUGUCUGGAUAAUGUACGAUACAAUAGGAAAACGGUUGCACGUUUGCGCGGUUGAUACGGAGAAAGUAAGAACGAAGGGUAACCAAGGUCGAGGUAGUAGCCGUAAGGGGACCAUGUACGUACAGCAGAACCUCGGUAACAUCGAAAGCUACAAUACAGAAAUGGAACGUACUAUAAAAUGGAGAGUUUAAUGGUUAAUUUUGGAGGAAUUGAAAUAAAUAAAAGAUACCAAUGCAGGUUCUCGAGAGCUAAAGAAGCUUCUAAAGAAGGCACGGUUUUAACUAGAUCCGUUUCCUUCGAUCUUCGUGAAAGGAAUGCCUCGAUUUUUGAGGUAACGUGGACAAUUGUUCACAAUUUGUUGAAUCGAGAAAUAAAGUACCGGAUUAACGAGGUUUCGCUGUACAUACCAAAGAAACGUUAGAUUCUAACGUGUACAUUCACUGACCAUUAACUCUCUAUAACCCCACGUGACUCUACACCUCUGAUCUCUGAUUUGAUGCACAAUUUUUCAAUCUCUCCUAUCUAUAUUCUCCAGAAGCUGAACGUAAUUCGGGUUAUAGAGGGUUAACCGAAUAUCCUCCGCGAUUCCUUCGUUUCGAGUAGAAAAACUGAGAAGCGUGAAACCAGAAACCGAAAACAAAACAGAGCGGAAGGGCAGGGAUCGAGGGAAAGAGAAAAGAGAUAACAGAGAGAACGAGAUAAAACCUCGGACGUUUACCCCUCGCCGAGACUUGUUCUUAACGACCGCAUCGAAAUGUUCACGUAAAAAAACAUCGACGCACACCAUUAUUCCACCCGUGAUAUCGUGUCAACGGCGAUCGAUAAAACGGCAUAGCGCGAUCAGUCGUCGAUCUUCCUUGGUUUUCUUCGAAAUCGUAUUCGCGUCAAGAGCGUUCUCGCUUUUUCGUAGCGUCCAUUCCAAAGACCCCGUGUUGGUGGGAUUUCUCGCACCGUUGCUGAAAAAAAAUAUCCUCCACCACUGUUACCAUUAAGAGUGUUUUUUUUUUUUAUAUCUGUUUUUUUUUUUGUUCCAUAAUUGCGGCAAUUGCCCCCCGUUCCAAAAUUCAUUCGUUCCGUUCUCCAUUUACAUAGAGUACACAAUCGACUGACUGACAUCGACGGCAGUUCACGUACACAUGUAUAUUAUACAUAUACAUAUACAUAUAGCCUGUGUAUACAUACAUAUAUAUAUGUAUAUAUAUACAUAAUACACAUACAGGCAGCUUCUUUAUACGGCGUCCCACGUGUUAGAGUAUGUACGUACACUGAAUAAGUAACAGUCGUCGACGUUUCCGGUGCUCGAAAUACGAAUAUGUGUGCUAAUUAGUGCAGCCACAGAUACAAGUAGCAAAAGAAACUGGAACGGAGCGACGCAAUGACCUUUUAACCCUGUCGCGCUCUCGGAUUUCAUUUAAAUUCAACGCGAGCACACCGUUGGGGGGGUUUUCCCUCGAGUGUUUGCCGAACAGAGUUCCCCAGAAACGGUUGGUCCGCGCGCGGAGACGGCGAUUCGGAUGGUAAAAUGGAGCAAGAGGUGCUCGAAAUGCGUAUUCAACGAAAUAAACAGCAUUAAUAAAAAAAAAAAAAAGAAAGAAAGAAAGAAAA